rnacentral:rRNA from 1 species
UGGGGAAUAUUGCACAAUGGGCGCAAGCCUGAUGCAGCCAUGCCGCGUGUAUGAAGAAGGCCUUCGGGUUGUAAAGUACUUUCAGCGGGGAGGAAGGGAGUAAAGUUAAUACCUUUGCUCAUUGACGUUACCCGCAGAAGAAGCACCGGCUAACUCCGUGCCAGCAGCCGCGGUAAUACGGAGGGUGCAAGCGUUAAUCGGAAUUACUGGGCGUAAAGCGCACGCAGGCGGUUGAUUGAGUCAGAUGUGAAAUCCCCGGGCUUAACCCGGGAAGUGCAUCCGAUACUGGUCAGCUAGAGUCUUGUAGAGGGGGGUAGAAUUCCAUGUGUAGCGGUGAAAUGCGUAGAGAUGUGGAGGAAUACCGGUGGCGAAGGCGGCCCCCUGGACAAAGACUGACGCUCAGGUGCGAAAGCGUGGGGAGCAAACAGG